rnacentral:rRNA from 1 species
AGCAGCCGCGGUAAUUCCAGCUCCAAUAGCGUAUAUUAAAGUUGUUGCAGUUAAAAAGCUCGUAGUUGAAUUUCGGGAUCAAUUUAUCGGUCGUGCCAAUGGUAUGAACUGGUACAAUUGGUUUCCCCCUUCUGACGAAGCAUGAUGUCAUUAAUUUGGUGUCGUGGGGAAUCAGGACUGUUACUUUGAAAAAAUUAGAGUGUUUAAAGCAAGCAUUAGCUUGAAUACAUUAGCAUGGAAUAAUGAAAUAGGACGUUUGAUCCUAUUUCGUUGGUUUCUAGGAUCGACGUAAUGAUUAAUAGGGAUAGUUGGGGGCAUUAGUAUUCAAUUGUCAGAGGUGAAAUCCUUGGAUUUAUUGAAGACUAACUACUGCGAAAGCAUUUGCCAAGGAUGUUUUCAUUAAUCAAGAACGAAAGUUAGGGGAUCGAAGACGAUCAGAUACCGUCGUAGUCUUAACCAUAAACUAUGCCGACUAGGGAUCGGAUGAUGUUAAUUUUUUAAUGACUCAUUCGGCGCCUUACG